AACGAACGCUGGCGGCGUGGAUAAGACAUGCAAGUCGAGCGGGAUUUCUUUUGGUAGCAAUACCGAAGGAAGUCUAGCGGCGAACGGGUGCUUAACACGUGGGCAACCUGCCAAGAAGUGGGGGAUAGCUCGCCGAAAGGCGAAUUAAUACCGCAUGUGAUUAGAGAGGACAUCCUUUCGAAAUUAAAGUCGGGGCAACCUGACGCUUUUUGUGGGGCCCGCGGCCUAUCAGCUAGUUGGUGAGGUAACGGCCCACCAAGGCUUUGACGGGUAGCUGGUCUGAGAGGACGGCCAGCCACACUGGGACUGGGACACGGCCCAGACACCUACGGGUGGCAGCAGUCGAGAAUUUUUGACAAUGGGGGAAACCCUGAUCGAGCGACGCCGCGUGGAGGAUGAAGGUCUUCGGAUUGUAAACUCCUGUCAUUGGGGAACAAGGUGCAUACGUUAACCGCGUGUGCAUUGAUAGUACCCGAAGAGGAAGAGACGGCUAACUCUGUGCCAGCAGCCGCCGUAAGAC
rnacentral:rRNA from 1 species